GUGUGUGUGUGUGUGAGCAGGUGGAGGUGAGAGUACAGUGUGUGUGUGAGCAGGUGGGGGUGCGAGUGCAGUGUCAGUGCUGUCCUGUAAGCAGACAUCAGUGAUCCUAUCUGGAGCGGUGACCAGUGCAGACAGAUGAAGAGAGCAGACGAGCUGCAGCGCUCUGGAGCAUCUGUAGAGGAGGACGAGGCCAACACACACAUGACCACAGCACACACUCAGAGCUGAGAGAAGCGUCUGAUCUACUGAUGAUGAUGAAGAUGAUGAAGAGUGCAGACCUGCAGGACCGAGCGGUGCUGAAGCGGCUCUGAAACCCAGCAGACAAUGUAGCUGUAGACACACACACACACAGACCAAUACACUGUGUGCCAGGUCCAGAACCGCGUCCGUUUCUCUGUGUGUCCUUCUCCAGCUGUAGUGUGUGUGUGUGUGUGUCUGUUCGUUCUCCAGCUGUAGUGUGUGUGUGUGUGUGUGUGUGUGUGUGUGUGUGUGUGUGUGUGUGUGUGUGUGUGUCUGUUCGUUCUCCAGCUGUAGUGUGAGCAGUCGGUCAUCAGAGACCCAGUAGCCGGAUGUAGCUGCUGUCGCUGCAGGACCUACACUGACCACUGAGCGCAGGAGGAGCGACGGGUGAACAGCGCUGAUACAGAGGUGGAGCUUGAGUGGGCGGUGAUUCUGGCUUCUGACCAAUCCUGUCAGCAGGGCGGGGCUCAUGGUGCCGUCCUUCACUGGAGGAACUGUUGAUAAAUGACAGAGACGUGAGUUCAGCUGCAGUGUAGACGCAGACUGCCCUGAUCUGAGGUCAGCUUCACACCCUUCCUCAGCUCAUCUGCUCAGUUCUGUGUUGAAGAGUGUGCAGUGAAGGACCUGAGCUGUGUUAUAUGCUCUCAUAAACACUAAAGAUCCUAAUGCUUGAACACCAUCUGCAGGCCCAUAGCCAGGGGGGGUUCAGGUGGUUCCGAAGACCCUCCCCUCACUGACAAAGGUCCAGAGUUUGUCCCAUACACAAGCUGUCGGCCAUCGCUUGAGCAGGACUUCAGCUGAUCAGUUUUGGCUAAUGCUAACACAUUUUCAUUUUACACUCUGCCGGUAGAGAAGUCCUCUUUUCUCUAACUCUUAUAGUUAAAAUAUGAGCAAUAAAAGCACCGAGGCGGCUCGUGUUAAAUUAA